rnacentral:rRNA from 1 species
GACGAACGCUGGCGGCGUGCCUAAUACAUGCAAGUAGGACGCAGUUGCGAAAGGGUGAUUAGCGCGUAGGUCACUGCCUAUUUGCGGGGGAUAACUAAUGGAAACGAUAGCUCAUACCGCAUACUAGUAGAUGGACCUGCGUUGUAUUAGCUAGUAGGUAGGGUCAUGGCCUCCCUAGUCGAAGAUACAUAGCCGCCCUGAGAGGGGGAGCGGACACAAUGGGAGUGGGGCAACGGCCAGACUCCUACGGGGAGCAGGAGUAGGGAAUCAUCGGAAAUGGGGGGAAGCCUGACCGCGCAACGCCGCGGGAGUGGAGAAGGUUGUCGGAUCGUAAAGCUCUGUUGUUUAGGAAGCGGUACCUAAACAGAAAGGGACGGCUAACUACGUGCCAGCAGCCGCGGUAAUUC